GAAAAUGGUUGCAGCUGGGAAGCUAUUGGCAUAGUAGACAGUUUUUUUAAUUACAUGGGUAUUUUGGUACAAAUGUAACCAGCCAUGUGGCUCAUAACCCUCUAAAAUAUACAGGCCAAGAGAAAAAUCUACUCACAUUUGGUGCUGGGCAUGUGUUAAUUUUGGACCCUGCUCAGACUGUCGUUAAUGUUACAGAAAGAUUUCCCAAGUUUAACGCUCCAGGCACCAUUAAAAGUUGCGAAAAUUUCCUCAAAACUAGCAAACUUUAGAGUUUGGCAGCAAGCAGGGCAAAAAAAUCAACGUGAAGGAUACUUUUUCUGUUUAAUCAUGGCUGCUGUAUCAUCUGUCCUCUUUUAGGGCCACCUAACUUGUGUUGUUUUGAAUUUUAUCUGGUAAAACAAUGUAAUAGUGUAAGAAUGUAAACAUCACCAAGCAGAGCUGAUGCUGUCCCUCCUGUAGCAGUGAAAGUGUUAAGACCCCUGCACUCUCAUUAAUCUCUAUUGGCCUCUGUCAUGGCUCAGAAAGAAAGGCCAGAUUACUCCCAUUCCUGGUCUCAGACUCUCAUUUAGCCAUGUACUUCCAGCCAUUAUUCACCCAUCAUAGAAACGCCACAAAACAAAUGAUAUUUACCUUAAAGGCCAUAAUACCUCAGGCUGAGAGCAAGCAAGCUGGGAGUCAGGGCAAAGAAAGUGGGGUAAAAACCAGAGUUUGAAACUCAUCACAGAGCUGCAGCACACUCGCUCCCUCUGCUAGUGUGAGGCUGUCAUCUGUCAUCUGAGAACAUGACAAAUGGCUGAAAUGAGCUGGAGAAGGAUUUGACACAGAUGUCUGACAUCACCAUCUAAUCCUUCACCACACUCUGGAAACACCACCAUGGGAUGGACUGGAUUGCCAUGGCAACAAACUCAAAAAUAAUCCCGCCAGACUCUGAAAGCCUGUGUGAUUGGGUUUGAUUUUGAUUGUGGUAUUAAAUCACAGCCUGCCUCUGCACUAAAGAAUGACUGAUUUUCUAAAAUUAGGGCGAUGUUAAUUAGUCACCCUCAUGACAACAGCCCGUAGUUGAACACAGGCCACAAUCAGUGAGCAAAACCUACAAGCUUCUUACACAGAUGAACCAAAAGCUUUAAAGUGACGCUGAUUAAAUCUACUACAGCACAGUUUAUCUUUUGUUCUAAGUCUCAUGUUGUUCUGGGAAAUAUCAACAUCUGGACCUCAGUUCUUUAACAAGAGAUCAGUUAGAAAGCAAGAAAAGUCAAGGUCAAAGAGGGAAAAAAGACGAGUGGUGAUACUGAGCUGCCAUGCUGAGUGUGUGAGUGAUAAAUCCACCGUUUGGGCUCCAGCCAUGAGUCAGGGACAGGUCUACUGUGUGAUUAACUUUAGAUAAAGGGGACUACACUCUGGGCCAGGCAGGAUCACAGCUCCUUGAAGAAAUGAAGACGAGACUUACUGUAUGUACGGGCUGAAGAACUGCUUGCUCUCGACGUGAUUCUGAUCUGUUAUUCUGUGGAAAAAACAGCUCAGAAAGACAAAAACAAACACGCCACAAUACGAGAACUCUGAAACUACGACUGAAAGUGAGUAUGACAAAACAGUCUAGUUGCUUCAGCGGUGAAUGUCUAUGCAUGUGUGUUAGAGAGAGAGCACGAGAAAGGGAGAGAGCCUUGAGCAAAAGCAUAAACCCCUCCAAGGGAUCAGUGACAUUUCCCAGUUUGGUGCAGCAUACAGAUUAUAUCCUCUGUUUAACAGGAGUCUUGAUCUGGCCUCUAGAUGGCAUUAAGUGUCACCUUAAUCACUUGUGACACACUUUUAAUCACUACCAUGACAGCGUCCUCCAUCUACCAGGGAAUGCCACAGGAUGAUGAAGAACUUUACCAGGAGUUUAGAUAUUUUUAACUUGGAUUUUGACUUUUUUUGUACACUCAUAUUCACUUUUUCUUGCAUCCUUGACUGUCAUUCCUCUAACAUCCAUUGUAGGUGUCCACAAUUGUACAACAAAUGACACAACAAAUGAUUUGCAUUGCUGGAGAACAGAUGUGUUUGCUGUGGAUGUGCAUUUACAGCAUAGAGGCCCAGAGAGAGGGGAAUACGUUGCACAGUUUUGAUGCUCCCAGUCUUUCUUCAAAAUUGAUACAGAGCAAACAUUGCGACACAUGUAUCUGCCUACUGAAUGGGAAUUAGACAUACACAGAAGCACAUCAAAGGAUGUGAUUGAGGGGGUUUGUUCCAUGGCAGAUGACUGAGAGAAACUUGGCCAGUCAUUUCAGAUGUGAAUUACUUUCAUCAUCCGCACACAUACGGCAGGCCAUAAUAAUCAUGUUACCACGUUUACUUUGUGAAAGAGAAUUUUCCUGUUCACCAAGUCUUGAGGGAGGAUAAAUAGAGGCUGCUUCUUUUCUUAUUCAUAGGCCAUGCAGCCUGGGGUACAUGCACACGGGCCUGCUUGAUUUUCGCCCUUCAUGGAAGAGGAGCCAAGUCUUUGUCUAUGAAGCCUCUUCACCUUUGCAUUGUUGCUCUGCAGAAUAACAAACAAAAAAAGCCUUUGGGCAUGUUGCUUUCUUUGAAAGAUGGGGAUGGCAGCUUUUUGCAUUUUUAUGAUUUCAACAAACCCUUUUAAAAGACAAAAAAACAACGAAGCAUUAGUCCAUCUCUCAACUCAUCCAGAAAGUCUGUUCUCUGCCACAGCCCAAAGCAUGUUUGUUUAAGACGGAUGUCCACAAAAAUGAGUCAGGAUUGUGUAGGUCACUUUCAGGAAGAAAGGUAACCGGUUUCUUCCAACAAUACUGAGAAAAGGAAAAUGAUGCAUUGGUGUGGAUUCAUUCAGGUUUGUUACCAAAACAAGUAGAGGAGGGAAGGAUUUCACAAGAAAAAUUAUUAGCAUUAUUAGCAAUGUAUCAUAUUCAGAAGCAGCCUUGGGCCCAUGUCAUGCUAAUGGUGGAAAUCUCAAGUGGUCUUACAAGAUUGUGUUCAGGACUGAAAGUGAUACAUGAUCAGUAUCUGAUGGAUCAUUACAAUUUCUUUUUGUUUGAUCGGUGAAUAAAAAACACAAAGCACAACAUAGACUGACUAUGAUGGUAGUUAACCAGUGUGACUGAUGGUGUUACACAGCAUGAUUAAUCAGGGGAUGAUGGCAGCCAAUGGUUUUGUUGGCAAAGAGUGGCUUAAUGCUAACAUGAAGAGUUGUUUACAGGUGGCUGGCUACUUCCCCGGGCGUAGGCCUGAGCCCAGAUGAACUCAGGCUCCUCCUACCCUCUUGGGACAACCUUACUCAUUAUCAGCACACAAUUUAAAAUCCAGCAUCCAUGAUGGCACAGGGAUGCACAAGUGUCCUUUGCAUUGGUAGCUUGCACAACUGGGAGGGAACUAUUGGUCCAAAUUCAGGACCAAUAGUCCUUUAGAGCAACAUUUACUGCUAAUCCAUGGUGCAUUUUUCAGGCAAGACCUUGCAUAUUUCAUUCGACAAUGACAAACCACAUUCUGCACCUGCUACUACGGCAAAACCCACCUGCGGUCCUAAACUGCUACCCACUGAAAACAUGCCAUUUGUUACACUUCUGCAUAGGCGUCUUUUUUCAAAAUCAAAGGUUGACUCUUUAUCCCAGCAACUGACAUCCAUUUACUCCAAUUACUCUUGUCACAGAACUGAAACACAGAGCGUGGAAAGUGACAUGGAGGGAAGGGGCUAAAGGUUGGAAACAAACGUGAACCUCCUGGGUUUAUGUGUUAAUAUUUGUGUGUUUCUUUUAUCCAGACCAUCACCUUUUCCUGAUUAAACCAAGAACAUUUCAUCCUUUAUAACUUCUAAGCAGCCUUUGCCACACAGAGAUGGCAUAAAGUAAGCAUUUUUAAACGGCUGAUAUCAAAUUCAAUGAGAGUUUAACAGAAUCUUCCAAAAGUAAGGACUGGUUAGAAUUUAUACUUUACCACCACUUCACUGUUUUAUUGAUCAUGAAAAGUUUAUAGACAACAGAGAAAAUAAAGUUCGAACUUUAGCUUGAUAUAAAACAUAGUUGGAUUGAUUUACAACUGUUUUGGAAAAUCUCCAUUUCCCUUUCCCAAUUCUUACAUUAUAAAUGAAAAAAAGGCCAUUGUCUGAUGUCAGAUGAGACGUUGUCCUUGUUACAGUGAAAAGAUGCUCUUUUUAAUAUAAAUCAGGAAAAGAGAACAAAGACAUGGCUCCAACUGCACCAAUCAAGCUUGAUGUCACGCCAGCCUUUGAAUAGAGAAACUUUUGGCAUUUAGCGUGGGUAUUUUUGAAACUCAUAUUUCUGAUAAAAAUAUCCCUUUCCACCAGAUCGUCUUUAUCUGGGAUAGAUAAAAACUUCUGUGAGCUGCUUAAAUAAUUGGACGUGCACUCAUUGGACAGAGAUUUUCACAUUGUCAGUACUGUGCCUGUGUUCUAGUUUCCCAUCAGAGUGAAUAAUGGGGCAUAGUUAGGGGGAGCGGUGUCCUGUUUCAGGUCUUUCAUGCCAGCGCAGGACUGGCCAGAGACAAAAGGACUGGGCCAAGAAAAGUAGGAAAAUAGAGAGAAAGAACAGCACCAACAGGAAAUCUGCAAGAUGGUGGAGAGCAAAAGCUCUAAAAAAGGAGAGAGGGGAGACGCAAAAGUGCUCCCAAAGGCAGCGAGGAGGCAGCUGGCUCAGAGGUGUGUGCGUCCUAUUUUUAGUUUCCCUCAUACGCAUCUUCAACUCAAACAGCUGCUGAAGCAUUUGCACACCAAAAGACUUCACCGUUGUUCCUGCAGACAAAAAACAACAUCCAUGCAAAAGAAAUUUAGUAGUUCAGGUGUUUCUGGUGUAGUUGGCUCACAGCACAAGCCCCGCCCUUUAGUCCUGCUUCCCACUGUCUGUCAUUUUAUUUAGGCUAAGCUACUUUCAGACAGAAACAAAGGUGAGGUGUAGCAUAAAGUCACAUGACCAAGAGUGCUCCUGAUGCUCACAGCCUGCAGUCUGACAUGUACAUAUGGCAGCAGUAAACAGAGUACAUCUCAUGGGACUAAUAUAUGGAGGAUAUCCACAAGCUGGAGGAGUCAUUAAUAAUGUGAGGUGUUCACGUGUCACUCUUGAGUGUCCUGAAAAUUUAUGUGGCUUCUUUUUUUAGGCUCCCAAGAAAAGAGAAUGGCAUAUUUAUAUUAUUUCUUAUGCAACGCUGAGGUACUUUGACACUGCUGUGGUUGCAAAAUAUUUUAUUCAUGAAAGAAAGAAAUUUUGAGAACGAGGACAUCUUUUAUUAAAAAAACAAAAAACACUUUGGUUGUUAUAAGCAGAACUAAUGCAUCAGAUGUACUAUGAUACAUUUUGGAAAAAGACUAAAUUCAUUUGAGAAAUGACAGAAACAACGUCAGAGCUGUGAUAAUAAGCUGCUGAAUGGUAGGCAGGGGAGCAACUUAGGGCGCCACCCAGGAGUAAGAAAAGAGGUUGUUUCAUUUAUUUAUCAAAUAUGAAAUAUUUAUGGGAUUCAUUUUGCUGGCAGUGGAGGACCAGGCAGAACUAACUGUGGGUAGAAGAACCACAAAGUUGCUCCUUGUAUAGAUAUGAAAGAAUCUGGUGGAGGGCUGCCAUGCACAUGUUUUUUUGACCUGUACGUUUCCAAGCUCUUAGGCAGACAUGAAGGAGAGAGUGACAGCACACUGCAGGCCAUAAACAUAUUACCCUGCUGUCAGUUUGACUUUGUCUGUCAUACAAUAGGAGUGGACAGCUCACCUGCAGAAAAGUAGAGGUGUUUACAUCCACACACGAGCACACAGGAUUGUCUUAAAACUGUGGCUGUUCCAGUCAAACCAGUUUGGCUGGAGCAGCGUGUUUUUCCCUAAACUCACUCUGCAGCCUCACCUCACAUUAGCAAAAGCUGACUGUUUCUGAAGUUAGUUAUUGUAAAGAAAAGAAAAAGAAACAACAGAAAUGAAUUAAAUAGACAGCACCUGCUCUACACAGAGACUAAGUUUCGGGUGAGGGAUUAUUUCCCUCUGAAAAGGAGAAGUUAAUUAUGUGGCUGUGAUGCACCUUUAAGUGCUCUGAUUGAGGGUUAAUCCCCAUCAAACUGCUGCACACAGAUUAUACAAUUUGACUGGCACCUUGUUCAAAUUAAACCGCUGAAACACAUCCCCAUGGAGUGUGAGGCACAUCUUCAUAUUCAACACAGUCAAAUGAUCAAACAGAGCCCCAGACAGAGGCGCAGAAAAAGACCGGAAAAGAGGCAAUGCUAAGACAGAUCACAUUCAAUGAGUUUGCAGCGCUCUCUGAGUAAGACAGCAUUUUAAAUAAAACAUGAAAGCUGGAGGAGUAGGCACUCCUCCUUAUGCAGAAACUUGUGACAAGCCAUGAUAUUCUGAGAGACAGCACACCCAGCUUCGAGCUGUCCCCGGGGAGACCCUUCCCUCUCCAUCAGAUAGACUAUAUAUCAGAACUAUCGGACAUGGUCCUUCAUUCCACUGCAUCCCAGCAUGCUGAGCAGAGGCCAGACUGACCGUCAGGGUGGAAGCAGCCGAUAAGCACUUAUGUACUGACUUCCUUCCUACUUUGUAUCACUACAUGGAUGACAGAAGAUGCAUCACUCACACACAGGAGCCCCACAGUCAUCAGGAGGUUCAGUUCAAUCCAGAAAAAAAAAAAAAAAAAGAUUUAAACCCUGUUUUCGUAUACACUUUAAUCUGUCUUUCAACAGUGAGAGGACAGGUUUGUGCGAACUUUGAUAUGAACAUGUAAAUAAGUCAUGGCUAAUCUCUCUCUCUCUCUCGCUCUCUCUCUCUUUCUCAGUAAAAGCCAUAUGUACAAUUUUAGAUUUCCCUGAGACUUGCUGACGUGAAAAAAGAGAUGAAAGAUUCAUGCUUGUUUAAAAAAUUCAAACAGAUGUCCUGAACUUUCGCUACACAGCCAUGCCAAUAAAUAAUUUAGUCUAUGGAUGCUGGGAAGGGAAUUUGGGAGUUUGGCCAGUGCAAAUAAAAUCUGAACAAUGAAACACAAAAAAAUAAAAUAAAAUAAAAGCAGGGAUUAUGAUACAUUUGUGUGCUAUUCUUUUUAUUUACAUCUAUAACCUUUUCUGCUCUGUGCGCACAACAAUAAUAACCUCUCAGAUGCCCAACAAAGUAAAUCUGGCACGAACACAGUAUUUUAUUUUAGGGGAGAGUGGGGUAAGAUGAGCCAUUUUUCAUAUUUGGGAUCACUAUAUCAAGGCAAUCAUAGUUUUCUCUCUAACUAGUGUAUCUGCAUAUAUUUCAAGAUGUUGUGCAUCCCUGCAAACCAACAGAAUGAGCGUAAACAUAAUUGUCUUGAUAAUAUAGCAUGCCAAAAAAAGCGGUCUCCUAUGGUCACAUGGGGUAAGUUGAGCCCAUAGACUGUAGUAUAUACAGUCUAGGGUUGAGCCCUAUCCCUAGUACCCCCCCACUCUCCACCCCAGCCCUCCCUCA